rnacentral:rRNA from 1 species
ACGGGUGAGUAACACGUAGGAAUCUGCCCUGAAGAGCGGGACAACCCGAGGAAACUCGGGCUAAUACCGCAUACUAUUCUUAGGAAGAAAGGCUGGGGAAACCUGGCGCUUUAGGAGGAGCCUGCGUCCGAUUAGCUAGUUGGUAGGGUAAAGGCCUACCAAGGCGAUGAUCGGUAGCUGGUCUGAGAGGAUGACCAGCCACACUGGGACUGAGACACGGCCCAGACUCCUACGGGAGGCAGCAGUGGGGAAUAUUGGACAAUGGGGGCAACCCUGAUCCAGCAAUGCCGCGUGUGUGAAGAAGGCCUUCGGGUUGUAAAGCACUUUAGGGUGGGAAGAAGUUGCGUAGUUUAAGAGAUGAUGCAAUUGACGGUACCACCAGAAUAAGCACCGGCUAACUCUGUGCCAGCAGCCGCGGUAAUACAGAGGGUGCGAGCGUUAAUCGGAAUUACUGGGCGUAAAGGGCGCGUAGGUGGUUUAGUAAGUUGGAUGUGAAAUCCCUGGGCUUAACCUAGGAACUGCAUCUAAGACUGCUGAACUGGAGUGCGGUAGAGGGUAGUGGAAUUUCCGGU